AGGGAGAACCACAGGGCACAGGGGAGCUGAGAGAUGAGGGGAGAUGUAAUGGUGAUGGAAGAACUGGAAGGAGGAAAACUAAAAUUAAAAAAUGAUUUGGCUCCACUGAAUGGGCUGCUAUUGCUGAAAAGCAACACAAAUUCUACACGGAGGCAAGCCUUCUGCAGGAGUAACCUGUUCCCCUUGGGGCACCAGGUAGGACCCAUGCAGGAGACACCAAAAACUCCUUCUCCUGUGAAGGUGGAUUUGGGGUGGGUGGUUUUUCUCCAGAGCAGCAUUUACUCGCUGUCAGCAUAUGAAGUGUCCCUCUGCAUCUCCACCGAUGUAAGAGCAGCCCUGCAUCUUGGUCCAGAAUCCAAGAAGCAGAACAGCACGUAGUGAAUAUGGAGCGCCGGGCACCCUGCGGUGAGAAAGGUCUGGAAGGUCUGGAAGUUGCGCUUUUGAUGAAGCCAGAGGAGUUUCGCCGGCUAGCAGAGCCCCUCUCUGGAAACACAUUUUAUGCAGAGAGCGUAGGAAACCCACAUUCAGCAGAGAACGAUCAUAAACAGCGAGGCGUAAAAUAACAGGUAGAACUGGAUGUCUGGGCUUAUGUAAUAUUUUAUGUAAUGGAACAUCUAGGAGUCCACAAUUCAAGCAACCCCAGCUCCCCACAGGCUGAACUCCCGCUGUGUAAUCUUGCACAAAAGCAAAUCCUGCCUGCAGCCCACCCCCAGGCUCCCAGCAACCUGGGAUCCCUGUUUCCAAGCCGUGUUAAAGACCUUGAGUCCCAGCGGUCAGGGGAGGAGGUAGGUUGUAACUAUAGUAGAAGCAGCGAUUUCUCCGCCCUCUCUUUCCUUAUUGCCUUGCACAAUACGGUGUUUUCCUGAUUCUCUAUGUCUUUGACAGCUACAUAUCAAGAGUCCCUUGUGCACAGAGCCGACUUUUCUGAACACCGAAAACUGCUUCAUACACACCCGCUCCCACCAAAAGGACAAGGCCAAUUCUUCUGAUAAAUUUGUAGACUUGUUACCAUAGAGACAGGCCCUGGGUACUCCAAGGCUGGAUCAGCAGUACCAUCUAGUGGGGCAUUAGAUACGCUGCAGCCCCCCGACUACACAAUGUUGGAUGAGAAAGGAUUUUUUUCUUUUUUCCUUUUUUUUUUUUUUCUUUUUCUUUUUAGCUAUCUGCUAUUCUCCUUCAAGACUUCUAGUGAUCUGUUCACCAAUAUCUACUUAAACUGAGUGGUUUUUUUCUUCCAGUUUCAUUGAGCUAUAACAAUAUUUGUACAGCAUUGUGUUAAUUCAAGAUGUUGACUUACCGACAUCAUGAAAUGAUCACCACAGUAAAUUUAGUGACCAUCCAUCAUCUUACAUAUGUUCAAAAUAAGAGAAAAAAAGUCUUUCCCCACGAUGAGAAGUCUUAGAAUUUAUUCUCUUAACAACUUUCCUACAUAAUAUACAUUUAUCGUGUUGUAUAGUACAUCCCUAGUACCUAUUUGUCUUAUGACUGGAAAUUUGUCCCUUUUGAUCCACCUUCAUCUGAUUCCCACUUCCUCCUGUCUCUGGUAACCACAAAGCUGAUCUCUUUUCCUGAGUUCAUUUGCUCAACUGAGGUUUUUGAAACUGUUUACUUCCCACGUGCAGAAAGAGUCCAACGUCAGAUUUGGUGCUAGUAUUCCAUCUCAUUUUCUGAUGUUCUGCCUUGCUAUCCCACACCUAUCUCUAAAUAAGUCAGGAACUGCUGUGGCGGGCCUCUGGAUAUCACAUACAAUGACAAAAAUAAACCGAUGCCUGACACGUAGGAGAACAAAUCCUCACCGGGGAUUUAAAAUAAGUGAUUAUGUCCUCCUUCAUUUUAUUCUUUUGUUCAGCCAGCGUGGCUUCUACUCCACAAAUAUAGGUGUGCAAGAAGUAGAUUUUCUUUGGUUUUCUAUAAAUGAGCUUACUCGUCCCAUCAGGGAGCAGAAGAUUGGUGUCAUCAAUAAAUCCAGGGCUUCCUUCCCUCGCUAUCCAAGUUCUGGAGGACUCAUGCAGAGUCUCCAUCAGAGUCUGGGAUGUCACCUGUCAUCAACCACACCUAUGGCAGCAAAACUCAGGAGGAGUAAAAGUGAAAUAAAGACGAUCGACACUUUCACGGCAGCUCAGGCAGGAUUUGCCACCAAAUGAGGUUUAGCACCAAAAAGGGAAAAUUGUUGUUUUUCAUCAUUUUUGUUUGAGGUGAGACCCGGGAGUGAGAGCUGGUCUGGUAGCCAGGUGGUAGCCUUGCAAAUGGAGGGAGGCCAGGUAUAGCGACCUAGCGUAGGGCAGCAGCCUCAAGAGGUCAGUGUGUUGGGACUACUAAGCCAGGCCCUUGACUCUUAGACACCUCAGCUCUGUCUCAACCCCCACCCCCUCUUUUGCAGAAAGCCUUUUCUGACUGCCCACUCUCCCCUAUGUAAAUUUCCCCAGAUGCUCUAAAACAAUUCUGUGUAGUUCCUCGCAGAUCCAUAGAUCUGAAAUUCCUUAAAUACAAGCAACAUCUUCUCUCCUUGGCACUAUCUGCUAAACCUACUCAAGGUUUUUCAGUCACAGCCACUCACACCCCUACAAAUACAAUCACAUCUGCAUCUAGCCAUAAUAACAGCAACAUAUUCGUAAAGAAUUUGGAGUGGAAUGGACUAGGAACUUGAGGUUAGUAGAUGCAAACUAUUACAUUUAGAAUGAAUAAGCAAUGAGGCCCUACUGUACAGCCC